rnacentral:rRNA from 1 species
UACGGAGGGAGCAAGCGUUACUCGGAAUUACUGGGCGUAAAGCGCGCGCAGGCGGCGGUGUUGGCCCGGCGUGAAAGCCCCCGGCUCAACCGGGGAGAGUCGUCGGGGACCGCACCGCUUGAGGGCGGUAGGGGCUGGUGGAAUGCCUGGUGUAGUGGUGAAAUGCGUAGAGAUCAGGAAGAACACCGGUGGCGAAAGCGGCCCGCUGGGCAGGAAGGGGUGGGUAACCAUCCCGGCUGACACGUGAGGCGCGACAGCGUGGGGAGCAAACAGG